GUGAGUGGGAGCCUGCUCAGAGCUUCCCCUUACCCUGGCCACCUCCACCUCCCAGAGCUCUCCAGAUAGAGGCAGGGUCAGGGUCAAAUGGGAUGAGAGAGAAACAGAGAGACAAAGAAGGGAGGACAGGGACAGAGGCCUUUCCUGCUUGGGUGACUUUUCACACUCUUUCUUUUUGGCUUUUCUCUUCCUAUUAGAGAAGGAGUAGAAUAUGGAGAAAACUCUGGCUCCUGAUGUCCCUGAGUCAGGGGACGGUUGCUGACUGUCUGUGGGAGGGUGUGUCUUACACUUCUAAGGGUGUGAAGAAUUUCCAACCCAUGCACUACAACAGCCAUUGACACAUACACAGUGAGUCAGUGUGUGGGGGUGUGGGGUGUCCCUUUGACUAUAUUCUAGGUGGUCUGGGUGUGAGUGUCUGCCUUUACUAUGAGAGUGUGCAUGCCUCCUGGAGAUGUCAGGGAGUCUGAGUGUGGCAUUGGUGGGGACAGGUAAGUGUGAAUGAGUAUGCUGUGGAAGGGGCACAGAGCCAGACAGUUCCUCCCUGUGUGUUGGGCGGGGAGAAGAAUUAACGUUUAAAUGAGACCCAUACCAUCUGCUGGCAGAACCACCCAGAUAUAGAGUGUGUGUGUGUGUGUGUGUGUGCGCGCGCGCGUGUGCUGGGGUGCCAUCUCUGUGAAGAUGUGUUUACACACGUCUCAUGAUUGUGCUGUGUGUGUGUGCAGGUGUGGGAGACCGCCACGGUGCAGCAUGCCUCUGAGUAUCCAUGAGCAUCCUGCGCUUUGCGUGGGCUAGCCUGUGCUCCCGUCUCUGGGGGUCAGGGUUGUGGCAGUGCUGGGUGGCCGGGCCUGGGUUUGGGCUAGGUCUGAGAACCAUGCAAACGGUAGCAGCCUUGAUGUGUGGGUGGUGGGUAGCUAGAAGGAGGCAGGCUGGGACGGGGGCUGUGGGAGGCGAGCCGCAGAGACCCUCCUGCUCUUGGUUUUAGCUCCAAUCCAGGGCCUCUUCCCUGACUCUCUUCUUUGCCCCACUGGCCUGGGCGCUGCCCAGCUCCUAAGGGGCUCUUCAGGGCCAGUUCCGGGGCGGGGCCGGGAGGAGGGAGGGUGUUAAGCCACGCAGUGGUCAGGACCAGGGGCAGCUCCCAUUGCCGGGAGGGGCGGGCUUGGCCCCGCCCGGCGGGGAAGCGGGGACUCUCCGGAGGGGAGACUGGACGCUUCGCCGAAGGUGGGCCAGGAACGCCGAGAGUCAGCCCCAGAGAGCGCCAGGGAACUGCACCUGUCACCGAAGGGCGGGACGGGCGGCUCUGGGACAGGAAGGUCCCAACUGGAGCUGCAGGAAGAAGGGAAAUGUCUUUAUGUUUAAGAAGAGGAAAGCGAGGAACAGAAAGGGAAGAAACUGCCCGUCCUCAUGGCAAUAGAAGCUGCAGGAAGAAGGUUUAAGAGGAGGAAAGUGAGGAACAGAAAGGGAAGAAACUGCCUGUCCUCAUGGCAAUAGA